rnacentral:rRNA from 1 species
AGUGAACGCUGGCGGUAGGCCUAACACAUGCAAGUCGAACGGCAGCACAGUAAGAGCUUGCUCUUACGGGUGGCGAGUGGCGGACGGGUGAGGAAUACAUCGGAAUCUACUUUUUCGUGGGGGAUAACGUAGGGAAACUUACGCUAAUACCGCAUACGACCUACGGGUGAAAGCAGGUGAUCUUCGGACCUUGCGCGAUUGAAUGAGCCGAUGUCGGAUUAGCUAGUUGGCGGGGUAAAGGCCCACCAAGGCGACGAUCCGUAGCUGGUCUGAGAGGAUGAUCAGCCACACUGGAACUGAGACACGGUCCAGACUCCUACGGGAGGCAGCAGUGGGGAAUAUUGGACAAUGGGCGCAAGCCUGAUCCAGCCAUACCGCGUGGGUGAAGAAGGCCUUCGGGUUGUAAAGCCCUUUUGUUGGGAAAGAAAAGCAGCAGGUUAAUACCACGCUGUUCUGACGGUACCCAAAGAAUAAGCACCGGCUAACUUCGUG